rnacentral:lncRNA from 1 species
UCUAAGGUAAUAUUAUUCAUAUUAGGUUACAUCUUAUUACUAAACAUUAUCUCAUCUUCAUCUGUGUGUUCUUAGUUUGAAUCUUUAUUUUUCAUGUCUUUCUAUAAGAUUACUCAAGCCGAUUUUCUUUGAUUGUGAUAUUCAAUCGGAAAUUCUGCCACCCCUUUCAAAAAUCCAUAAGAACGGUUGGCUUUGUUUUCACUAUUUGUAUCCCUAAGUCUAUAUUUAGGGUUUUAAUUUUCUGAUAUAUUUGUUACAAUUUUUGUAACUACCAAAAAAAAAAAAAAAAACUCAUAAUUUUGUAAAUACGAACAAAAAUUUUAAAUAACAAAAACUCAUUAUUUUGUUUGCGAAUUCAGUAGUCACAUUAUACAUUUCAAUUUCCAUUCUUACUUGACAAUUAUAGUUCAAUUUCUUCUUUUAAUAAUCAUUUGUAUUGUUUUAAUGUAAUUCCUAAUUUCUUCGUGUACUAUUUACAAGCAUGCUAAUAAAUUAGUCACAAAUUUUUUUUUUCAAAUUGGUUUAAAAUUGCUUCUAUGAAUAGAUGGAGGUUUGGACGUUUGAAGAAAUACAUAAUGCCUUAAAUUAUGCUUCUCAAAACCAUGGAAAGCACAACUAGCUAGGGAAAGCAAAGGUAAUUGCAUUAUGGAGUUAUAGUCUUGAAUGAGUAGCAUAGCAAUGUGUACUAUUUACCCCAUGUCUACUCAAGUGAUGGCUACACUGCUCAAGAGCAUAUCAUUGAAGGGAUAGGGUUAAUGACAAAUAUGAAGAGGGUCGUGACAUAAGUCAUCUUUUUGAAUUCAUGUUUGGGAAUAUUGAUGGUUUUGGUGAUCUUGAUAUUGAUAACCUUGAUGAGAGGAGCGUCUUGCUACCCUAGCUUAUAUACUUGGAUCAUAUUUUAACAUAUAUGAUAUUAUAAGUGGAUACUGAUUGAACAAUACGAGGAAUGAGAAAUCCAAGCGUUGACCGAGGAAGACUAUCUCAUACCAAAAUCCGAUUAUGUUUCUACAACAGUAACUUCAUCGUUAGUUACAUCAUCUACAUUGUUUUGAUGAUGAAAAUUAUGAUGAAGAAGAAUUACUGAACAAAUUACGUGUGAUGUGAUAUGUGAUGUGAUAUGUAAUGUCAUUUAUAUUUCGAUUAUUUAUAAUGUUAUAACAUAUCUAAUUUAAAUUUUUAAACCGUGUAAUAGACGGGUACCUAAUGAAUUGUUGUUGUAACUUUUAUUUAUUAUUAGUGUUAUUGGUACUGUGUU